AUUGAUUGAUGGUGCUUGCACCUGAUUGAUUUUGGUCGCCAACGAGUGGCGGACGGGUGAGUAACACGUAGGUAACCUGCCCAGAAGCGGGGGACAACAUUUGGAAACAGAUGCUAAUACCGCAUAACAGCGUUGUUCGCAUGAACAACGCUUAAAAGAUGGCUUCUCGCUAUCACUUCUGGAUGGACCUGCGGUGCAUUAGCUUGUUGGUGGGGUAAUGGCCUACCAAGGCGAUGAUGCAUAGCCGAGUUGAGAGACUGAUCGGCCACAAUGGGACUGAGACACGGCCCAUACUCCUACGGGAGGCAGCAGUAGGGAAUCUUCCACAAUGGGCGCAAGCCUGAUGGAGCAACACCGCGUGAGUGAAGAAGGGUUUCGGCUCGUAAAGCUCUGUUGUUAAAGAAGAACACGUAUGAGAGUAACUGUUCAUACGUUGACGGUAUUUAACCAGAAAGUCACGGCUAACUACGUGCCAGCAGCCGCGGUAAUACGUAGGUGGCAAGCGUUAUCCGGAUUUAUUGGGCGUAAAGAGAGUGCAGGCGGUUUUCUAAGUCUGAUGUGAAAGCCUUCGGCUUAACCGGAGAAGUGCAUCGGAAACUGGAUAACUUGAGUGCAGAAGAGGGUAGUGGAACUCCAUGUGUAGCGGUGGAAUGCGUAGAUAUAUGGAAGAACACCAGUGGCGAAGGCGGCUACCUGGUCUGCAACUGACGCUGAGACUCGAAAGCAUGGGUAGCGAACAGGAUUAGAUACCCUGGUAGUCCAUGCCGUAAACGAUGAGUGCUAGGUGUUGGAGGGUUUCCGCCCUUCAGUGCCGGAGCUAACGCAUUAAGCACUCCGCCUGGGGAGUACGACCGCAAGGUUGAAACUCAAAGGAAUUGACGGGGGCCCGCACAAGCGGUGGAGCAUGUGGUUUAAUUCGAAGCUACGCGAAGAACCUUACCAGGUCUUGACAUCUUGCGCCAACCCUAGAGAUAGGGCGUUUCCUUCGGGAACGCAAUGACAGGUGGUGCAUGGUCGUCGUCAGCUCGUGUCGUGAGAUGUUGGGUUAAGUCCCGCAACGAGCGCAACCCUUGUUACUAGUUGCCAGCAUUAAGUUGGGCACUCUAGUGAGACUGCCGGUGACAAACCGGAGGAAGGUGGGGACGACGUCAGAUCAUCAUGCCCCUUAUGACCUGGGCUACACACGUGCUACAAUGGACGGUACAACGAGUCGCGAACUCGCGAGGGCAAGCAAAUCUCUUAAAACCGUUCUCAGUUCGGACUGCAGGCUGCAACUCGCCUGCACGAAGUCGGAAUCGCUAGUAAUCGCGGAUCAGCAUGCCGCGGUGAAUACGUUCCCGGGCCUUGUACACACCGCCCGUCACACCAUGAGAGUUUGUAACACCCAAAGUCGGUGGGGU
rnacentral:rRNA from 2 species